GAUCCUGGCUCAGAUUGAACGCUGGCGGCAGGCUUAACACAUGCAAGUCGAGCGGGGUGAAGUGCUUCGGUACUGAUCCUAGCGGCGGACGGGUGAGUAAUGCUUAGGAAUCUGCCAUUUAGUGGGGGACAACAUUCCGAAAGGGAUGCUAAUACCGCAUACGUCCUACGGGAGAAAGCAGGGGAUCUUCGGACCUUGCGCUAAAUGAUGAGCCUAAGUCGGAUUAGCUAGUUGGCGGGGUAAAGG
rnacentral:rRNA from 1 species